UACCCAAAUUCACCCUAUGGUUUAUGCUGUAUGGUAACAGUCAACGAAGAAACCAAGUAGGGCUAAACCUGUCAGCGAUGUUGGUUCUACUCCUGUGUCUCCUAGUGCUCCUCAUCCCUGGAGGCAUAACUGCUGAGUUUGAGCUGAUUGGUUCACCUGACCCCAUCGGUGCUGUAGCUGGUGAUGAUGUCAUCCUGCCGUGUACCCUGGAACCUCCCAUCAAUGCAGAGUUCCUGACAGUGGUGUGGUCAGUGUGUGACCAGAAAUGUAUACCGAAUCUAGUACAUUUAUACCGAGAAGGCCGUAACUUAAAUGCCGGCAAGAAUCCAUCUUACAAAGACCGGACAAUGCUGUUUGAAGAAGAACUGGUCAAGGGCAACGUCUCCCUGAAACUCUUCGGAGUGAAGCUGGAGGAUGAGGGGAGCUACACCUGUCGUGCUGUUAAGACAGGUGUAGGUGUAGACAGCCAGGAGGAGACCGUCAUCCAUCUCAGUGUUGGCAUGGUUUCUAUACCAGAUGUAUCCAUCCUGGGAGUUAACGACACUGGGAUGGUUCUCCAGUGCGUGGCCAAAAGCUGGUACCCAGAACCUGAGCUGGAGUGGAGGGAGAGUGAGGGACAACUCCUCCAUGCUGAUGUCACACAGACAGACAAAGACCCUGACGGACGCUACACUGUGAGAAGCAAGGUGACCGUACAGAAGACAGACACCAACAUGUUCACUUGCAGAGUUGAGCUGCAGGGACUCAACCAGACCAGGGAGACAGAGAUCCACAUUCCUGAUCAACUAUAUCUGCUGAAAGGUGCCUCCUAUGAUUCAAUAGUUCCAACAAUAGCCAUUGUUGCUGGAAACAUGGCCAUCUUCAUCGGAGUAGCAGUAUUCUGCUACUUUCAGAAGAAACGUACAUCAUCAGGUAUUACAAUUAUUAAGAGACAGUCAACUGUGUGUGUAGUUAUGUCUUAUGGUAGACAAGUUAUUUCCCCCUGUCUUUUUAACAAUGUUUAUGACUCUAAAGGGAAACACGUUGACCAUGAUGAGCCACAGAGCAGUGCCCAAAUGCUUCCAGGUAGUGUGUGUGUGUGUUGUGUGUGUGUGUGUGUACAGUAUGUUUGUGUUUGUGUGUUGAGGUUGAGGAGGGCCUCCUAUUGGUUGAGUCCUUGAAUGAGUUCUACUAUCAGACUGGUGUGGUGUUCCUCUUCUCACCCCAGCCUCACUCACAACACCUACCAUUCACCCAGUCAGCAGGGCAGUCUCAUUCACCAGAACUACUAUUCACCCCAGUCUCACUCACAACACCUACCAUUCACCCCAUUCAGCCUCACUCACAACACCUAUUAUUCUGCUACUUUCAGAAGAAACGUACAUCAUUAGGUAUUACAAUUAGUAAGACACACUCAACUGUGUGUGUAUUUAUGUCUUAUGGUAGAUAAGGUAUUUCCCCCAUGUAUUUCUAACACUUGUUUAUGACUGUAAAGGGAAACAAGUGUCCAAAUACUUCUAGGUAAAGAAGAUGAACCACAUGGACAAGAUGUCUCAGUGCUUCCAGGGAGUCAAGUCAACGAGGAUGAUGGUAGUGAUAGUGGAGCCUGUACAGACAGUGAUGAAGACGGUGACGUUGUGAAGAAGGUGACAGAUUCAAGACUUGUUUGAUUGAAGACCAUGCCAGAAUCCUACUCCCCACUGCAUAUUAUGGAACCUAGUAGGACUGUCAUAUCAUGUGAGAUCUAUCAGAAUAUUUUUACAAAUAUUGGUUUUGCAUCCAUUUCUGUUAAAACUGAAAAAUGUGCGUGUGUUUACAUGUGUGACGAGUGCAGUAACACGUCAAGCUUUUUGUAAAACAUUUUUUGUACAGUUUCUACAUUUUAUCUUGUUUGUUAUGUUUACUGUAUGCACCUGCCAACCAAAGUAAAUUCCUUGUUUGUGACCACUUAC